rnacentral:rRNA from 1 species
GAUCCUGGCUCAGGAUGAACGCUAGCUACAGGCUUAACACAUGCAAGUCGAGGGGCAGCAUGUUGGUUGCUUGCAACCAAUGAUGGCGACCGGCGCACGGGUGAGUAACGCGUAUCCAACCUACCCUUGUCCAUCGGAUAACCCGUCGAAAGGCGGCCUAACACGAUAUGCGGUUCACAGCAGGCAUCUAACGUGAACGAAAUGUAAGGAAGGAAGGAUGGGGAGUGCGU